AAGUCGAACGAACUCUGGUAUUGAUUGGUGCUUGCAUCAUGAUUUACAUUUGAGUGAGUGGCGAACUGGUGAGUAACACGUGGGAAACCUGCCCAGAAGCGGGGGAUAACACCUGGAAACAGAUGCUAAUACCGCAUAACAACUUGGACCGCAUGGUCCGAGUUUGAAAGAUGGCUUCGGCUAUCACUUUUGGAUGGUCCCGCGGCGUAUUAGCUAGAUGGUGGGGUAACGGCUCACCAUGGCAAUGAUACGUAGCCGACCUGAGAGGGUAAUCGGCCACAUUGGGACUGAGACACGGCCCAAACUCCUACGGGAGGCAGCAGUAGGGAAUCUUCCACAAUGGACGAAAGUCUGAUGGAGCAACGCCGCGUGAGUGAAGAAGGGUUUCGGCUCGUAAAACUCUGUUGUUAAAGAAGAACAUAUCUGAGAGUAACUGUUCAGGUAUUGACGGUAUUUAACCAGAAAGCCACGGCUAACUACGUGCCAGCAGCCGCGGUAAUACGUAGGUGGCAAGCGUUGUCCGGAUUUAUUGGGCGUAAAGCGAGCGCAGGCGGUUUUUUAAGUCUGAUGUGAAAGCCUUCGGCUCAACCGAAGAAGUGCAUCGGAAACUGGGAAACUUGAGUGCAGAAGAGGACAGUGGAACUCCAUGUGUAGCGGUGAAAUGCGUAGAUAUAUGGAAGAACACCAGUGGCGAACGCGGCUGUCUGGUCUGUAACUGACGCUGAGGCUCGAAAGUAUGGGUAGCAACAGAUUAGAUACCCUGGUAGUCCAUACCGUAACGAUGAUGCUAGUGUGAGGUUUCGCCUUCAGUGCUGCAGCUAACGCAUAAGCAUCCGCCUGGG
rnacentral:rRNA from 2 species